GAGACUCUGUGCGCGUGCAUAUCAAUAAGCGGAGGAAAAGAAACUAACAAGGAUUCCCUUAGCUAACGGCGAGUGAAGCGGGAAGAGCUCAAAUUUGAAAUCUUCAAGGUUCUACCUCGACGAAUUAUAGUUUAAUGAAGUGUUUUCUGUUAGUGAAGUUGGCUAAAAGUUCUUUGGAAUAGGACAUCAUAGAGGGUGAGAAUCCCGUAUUUGAUCGUUACCUUCCUAGCUGUUGUGAUACACUUUCAACGAGUCGGAUUGUUUGGGAAUGCAGUCCAAGAUGGGUGGUAAAUUUCAUCUAAAGCUAAAUAUUGGCGAGAGACCGAUAGCGAACAAGUACCGUGAGGGAAAGAUGAAAAGAACUUUGAAAAGAGAGUUAAACAGUACGUGAAAUUGUCAAAAGGGAAGCGUUUGACACCAGUGUUGUUUAGUUGAAAAUCAAUUCAAUAGUUUUUGAUUCUAAGUAGUAUUGACUUCAUCAGCUUGCUGCUUUCUUCUCAGAAAUUAUUGAAUGCACUUUUCAGUUAACAAGUCAACAUCAAUUUCUUUUGUUGUAAAAGGGUAAGAGGAAGGUGGCUUGCGCUUCGGCUCAAGUGUUUAUAGCCUUUUAUCUCUGCAAUCGGAGAGAUUGAGGUCUGCAGCGUAGAUCCUUCGGGGUUAGAUACAUUGGUGCUAAGCUAUAGCCUUGUAUAGACAACUUGUUGACUAUGCUCAGUCAUGUAGCUUACUCGCUGAUGCUAUUUUACCUACGCUUAGGAUGUUGACAGCAGUAUAGACUGU
rnacentral:rRNA from 1 species